UACGUAGGGGGCAAGCGUUGUCCGGAUUUAUUGGGCGUAAAGAGCGUGUAGGCGGCCAGGUAGGUCUGCUGUGAAAACUCGAGGCUCAACCUCGAGCUGUCGGUGGAAACCAUCUGGCUAGAGUCCGGAAGAGGAGAGUGGAAUUCCCGGUGUAGCGGUGAAAUGCGCAGAUAUCGGGAAGAACACCCGUGGCGAAGGCGGCUCUCUGGGACGGUACUGACGCUGAGACGCGAAAGCGUGGGGAGCAAACAGG
rnacentral:rRNA from 1 species